UGAAAUUUGGGGAAAAGACUCAAGAUUAAUCCUACGGUAUUAGUACACUCCCGGAAGGUGAUGAAAGUAGGUGGAGCCAAAAAGACAAAACAAAGAAGAAGACAAAAAAUGAAGAGGAAAAAACACAAGAAGAUGAGGAUCAUCAGGAGCAAUAUUAAUUGCAUGGAGACAAAGAACCAAAUCAGAAAAAGCAAGAGGAGGAGGAUGUGCUGCACUGCAUUCUGGGAUGUGUACGUGCGUACGCAAGGGCGUAUGCCCUGCGCUGCACAUACCAACCCAAUUUUGCUCCAUUUUGAGGUCUAUAAAAGGCAUCAUCCUCUCCCAAAUCAGAACCUUGGCUGAGCAAGAUGUUGAAAUUAGAGCAAAA